rnacentral:rRNA from 1 species
CAGUCCCUACGGGGGGCAGCAGUGGGGAAUAUUGGGCAAUGGGCGCAAGCCUGACCCAGCAACGCCGCGUGAAGGAAGAAGGCUUUCGGGUUGUAAACUUCUUUUCUCAGGGACGAAGCAAGUGACGGUACCUGAGGAAUAAGCCGCGGCUAACUACGUGCCAGCAGCCGCGGUAAUACGUAGGUGGCAAGCGUUAUCCGGAUUCAUUGGGUUUAAAGGGUGCGCAGGCGGGCCUUUAAGCCGGCGGUGAAAUCGCGGGGCCCAACCCCGCC